rnacentral:rRNA from 1 species
UACGGAGGGUGCGAGCGUUGUCCGGAAUCACUGGGCGUAAAGGGCGCGUAGGCGGCUUGUCACGUCGGGUGUGAAAGCCCGGGGCUUAACCCCGGGUCUGCAUUCGAUACGGGCUAGCUAGAGUGUGGUAGGGGAGAUCGGAAUUCCUGGUGUAGCGGUGAAAUGCGCAGAUAUCAGGAGGAACACCGGUGGCGAAGGCGGAUCUCUGGGCCAUUACUGACGCUGAGGAGCGAAAGCGUGGGGAGCGAACAGG